UGUAUUUGGCAACAAUAUACUAGAAUUGGAAGGAUAAAGAGAAGAUUAGCAUGGCCCCUGCGCAAGGAUGACA
rnacentral:snRNA from 1 species